GAAUCUAUGAUAAGAUCAAAGGCUGUUUGAAGCUGAGCCAGAUUAUCCAAACUCUACAUGGGACGCCACCUUUAAGAAGGACUGAUUUUUGUGUGCCAAACCACUUCAGAUUUGGCAUGAGAGAACCUCAGAGAGGGUGUGAGAGAUCUGAGAAAGAGGGGUGGGCAUCCGUGUGUGAGAAAAAGAGGAAGAAGAUCCUCUUUGGGAUGUGA
rnacentral:lncRNA from 1 species